UAGUAGUUUUGUGGUCUUGAUUUUAGGUUGGUUUGAUAAUUAUAAAUUUUGACUGCAGGAGAUAUGUGCAUAUGCCCUAAAAAUCAAUUUGUAUACAGUCUAACGUUGGUGUCUGAUGUUGGUCCUGCAGAAAGUUUAUGCAAGAUGUAAUGUUUCAUGGUCAAUGCUCAAUACUACUUGAAGAGAGUUUAAAAUCAAGGUAUUUAUCCUUCAUGGCCCAUUGGUUAGAGCCAUGCCUGCUCAUGCUUAGAGUAUCAGGAGAAAUCAAGAUUUUUAGUGGGGCUGAUUUAGAGAAAAAAA